rnacentral:rRNA from 1 species
ACGAACGCUGGCGGCAGGCUUAACACAUGCAAGUCGAACGAUGUAGCAAUACAUAGUGGCGCACGGGUGAGUAACGCGUGGGAAUGUACCAUUUGGUGGGGAAUAACUUCGGGAAACUGAAGCUAAUACCGCAUACGCCCUUCGGGGGAAAGAUUUAUCGCCAAAUGAUCAGCCCGCGUGAGAUUAGGUAGUUGGUGGGGUAAUGGCCUACCAAGCCUACGAUCUCUAGCUGGUCUGAGAGGAUGAUCAGCCACACUGGAACUGAGACACGGUCCAGACUCCUACGGGAGGCAGCAGUGGGGAAUAUUGGGCAAUGGAGGAAACUCUGACCCAGCCAUGCCGCGUGAAUGAUGAAGGCUUUAGGGUUGUAAAGUUCUUUCGCCGAUGAAGAUAAUGACGGUAGUCGGAGAAGAAGCCCCGGCUAACUUCGU